GGCCGGGAGCGGCGGCGGCAGCAGCAGGAGGCGAUCUCGCGAGAAGCGAGGCUAAAAGCCUGCCCCGCCAGCGCAGGGAGGAGAAGUCGCUCCAGUCGGAGCGCGGAGGGACACGCAGACAUUUCAGCCUCAAAGGCAGAACAAAUUAGUAGGUGCAAGGAGCCACACAUCCAUACAACGUUGAGACCCUGCCCAGGACAAGCUCGGCCACAGUAUUCCCUUUGGCACCUCCACCCACUUGGAACAAAGCCUGAUGUAAAGUCUGGGUGCAACUCAGACCGGCCUGGGAAAGAAUUUAUUUAAUAAAUGGUGGAAAGUGGC